GCGACAAAUCUGUGUGUGUGUGUGUGUGGCGGCGAUUCUGCCUGAAUCGAAAGAAGCUAGGGCUCGGCCCUUUGUGGGUAUGCUGCGAGGGACAGAGGAGGAAGAAGGGAAGGAUACUUGAGACGGGGAUGGGAUGGACGGCGUUAAACGCCAGCCUCGGCGACAUUCAGAGGACCGGGGCUUUUCUGCACGGAAAACGAGCACAGUGGAGGUCUGCCCGGACUCUGGC
rnacentral:lncRNA from 1 species